rnacentral:rRNA from 1 species
AUUGAACGCUGGCGGCAGGCUUAACACAUGCAAGUCGAGCGAGCGGCGGACGGGUGAGUAAUGUCUGGGACACUGCCUGAUGGAGGGGGAUAACUACUGGAAACGGUAGCUAAUACCGCAUACCAUCAGAUGUGCCCAGAUGGGAUUCGCUAGUUGGUGGGGUAAUGGCUCACUUAGGCGACGAUCCCUAGCUGGUCUGAGCGGAGGACCAGCCACACAGGAACUGGAACACGUUCCAGACGCCUACGUGAGGCAGUAGUGGGGAAUAUGGCACAAUGGGCGCAAGCCUGAUGCAGCCAUGCCGCGGGUGUGAAGAAGGCUUUCGGGUUUGAAAGCACUUUCAGCGAGGAGGCGUGACUCGCAGAAGAAGCACCGGCUAACUCCGUGCCAGCAGCCGCGGUAAUAC